GGGCGCUUAGCGCAGGGGUAGCGCGUCUGCUUUGCAUUUGUUCACGCAUGUUUGUAUUUGUUUGCAGAAGGUCAAGGGUUCAAUUCCCUUAGUGUCCA